rnacentral:rRNA from 1 species
UACGUAGGGUGCAAGCGUUGUCCGGAAUUAUUGGGCGUAAAGAGCUCGUAGGCGGUUUGUCGCGUCGGCUGUGAAAGCCCGGAGCUCAACUCCGGGUCUGCAGUCGAUACGGGCAGACUUGAGUGUUGCAGGGGAGACUGGAAUUCCUGGUGUAGCGGUGAAAUGCGCAGAUAUCAGGAGGAACACCGGUGGCGAAGGCAGAUCUCUGGGCCGUAACUGACGCUGAGGAGCGAAAGCAUGGGGAGCGAACAGG